rnacentral:rRNA from 1 species
GACGAACCGUGCAACCGUUGUUCGGAUUCACUGGGCUUAAAGGGCGCGUAGGCGGGUGAUCAAGUCCGGGGUGAAAUCCUCCAGCUUAACUGGAGAAUAGCCUUGGAUACUGGUUGCCUCGAGGGAGGUAGGGGCGGGUGGAACUUCCGGUGGAGCGGUGAAAUGCGUAGAUAUCGGAAGGAACGCCGGUGGCGAAAGCGACCCGCUGGACCUCUUCUGACGCUGAGGCGCGAAAGCCAGGGGAGCGAACGGG